AGUCACUGACAUUAGAUACCCGUGUAGUCCAGGGUGUAAACGCUGCAGACUUGGUGUUGGGAACCCUUCGGGGGUGCUCAGUGCCGGAGAGAAGUUGUUAAGUCUGCUACUUGGGGAGUACGUCCGCAAAGGAUGAAACUUAAAGGAAUUGGCGGGGGAGCACCGCAACGGGAGGAGCGUGCGGUUUAAUUGGAUUCAACGCCGAAAAACUCACCAGCAGCGACUGUUACAUGAAAGUCAGGUUGAUGACCUUACUAGAUUUUCAG
rnacentral:rRNA from 1 species